UUUUUUUUUUUUUUUUUUUAAUGUAUUAUUUGGAGGGUAAAGUUGAAUAGGUCAGCGCAGGGUAAACAGCCUCCCUGUCGCAUUCUGCAGGCUGAAGAGAACCAGAUUGGCGAGGCGGAUUUUUGAUAAGACUCGGAAUAAAUGGCAUGGUUUAGAUCUGCUCUGCCCACCCUCCUCCUCCUCCUGCCCCCACCCUCUUCUCGGCGGUGUGUCCCGUCCCCGUCGCCCCCCCCCCCCCCCAAAUCCUUCACUCUUUUCUGCCUCUCGGUCAUUUCUUUUGCAUUUCGCGGAAGUUUUCAGCAAAUCCACCCUCGCUCCCAGCUCUCGCAGGGCGCGAUAACACCGGAGCCCUCUGAAAGUUUGAGGCACGGAGUCGCUGGAAACUCGAGGAAAACCCGCUCUUUCUUGGAAUGGAAAAGGGGGAAACCAGUAGCAAAGCUCCCCCUUCACCAGGAGCAGCCCAGUUAAUCCAACGAAAAAGAGGGGAGGAGGAGGAAGAGGAGGAGGAGAAAUAGGGAGAAAGAAAAUAAAGAGCAACACCUAAGGAAGAGCAAGAAGUUCCUGCAGGAGCUGGACACUGCCGAGGGGGAAAGAAGCGCUCAAAUCUCAGCGCAAAACCUUCCACCGGUGGAGCCCGGACAGGACCUGCCGAGCCGAGCCCGGUUCCCCCCCCCCCGGCUGCUGGGCUCAGGAGCCGCCAACCUCCCCGCUCCGGGGGCCAGAGUAGCCG